rnacentral:tRNA from 2 species
GCCGUUAUAGCUCAAUUGGUAGAGCAAUCGCCUUGUAAGCGAUCGGUUGCGGGUUCAAUUCCUGCUGACGGCUCCA